CUCACUCUCUCUCUCUCUCUCUCUCUCUCUCUCUCAGUCUCGCUUUAACCUUGUGCCCGCUCGGUGCCCGCUGCUCCUGCCCCUAGAGAUUAAAGAAAAAGAGAGAAAAUGAGAUAGCUUUAAAAUGACGAGAUAGACCAAAUAGAGUGAAGAAAGAAAAAAAGAAAGAAAGAAAGAAAGAAAGAAAAUGUGAGAUAGUGAUAUAGUGAUACAAGUGAGCAAGUGAGAGAUAGAGAAAGUGAGAAAGUGAGCAAGUGAGAGAGAGAACAAGAGAAAAUAAAGAGAGUGUGUGAUUUGAGAGGUGAGAAAAUAAAGAAAGAGAAAAAGAAAGAGAGGAAAAUAGAAAUAAAGAAGAAGAAGAAGAAGAGGAAGAAGAGGAGAAGAAGGAGGAGGAGGAAAAAUGAUGAAAAAUUAAAGAAAAUUAAAGAAAAUAAAUAAUAAAGAGGAAAGAACGAGCCUAUAUAAAUUUUCUUAGGCCUAAAAUUUUUCAAGAGGCGUAAAAAGUAAAAAAAAUAAUAUUAAAGAUAAUUUUUUUUUUCAAGAGGAUAAAAAGUGUAGAUUUUUUCAAGAGGAACAAAAAAAAGAGGACUGAAAAUUAAGAGAGGAAUGAGAAUACGCCUAUUUUUUUUUUUCAAGAGGACAAAAAAUUCUAGGUCUAAAAGUGAAAAUAAAUAAAAGCCUAAAUAUUUUCAAGAGGACUGAAAAUUGAACAGGAAUAAAAAUAAGCUUAAUUUUUUUUUUCAAGAGGACGAAAAAAUCAAGAGGCCUAAAUUUUUUCAAGGUCUAAAAAUUAAUGUGAUAAAAAUUUGAGGUCUAGAAAAUUCAAGAGGAAAAAGUCAAGAGGCCUAAAUUUUUCAAGAGGACGAAAAAAUCAAGGUCUAAAUUUUUCAAGAGGACGAAAAAAUCAAGGUCUAAAUUUUUUCAAGGUCUAAAAAUUAAUGUGAUAAAAAUUUGGGGUCUAAAAAAUUCAAGAGGAAAAAAAUCAAGAGGCCUAAAUUUUUCAAGAGGACCAAAAAAAAAAAAAAAAUAUAUCAAGAGGCCGGAAAAUGAAAAUGAUCGAACAUUGAGGCUUAGAAAAUUCAAGAGGAAGAGAAGAGAGGAAAUAAAGAGACCUAUUUUUUUUUCCAAGAGGACCAAAGAAAAACGGCCUAAAUAUUUUUCAAGAGUACCCACAAAAAAAAUUUCAAAAAAAUAUCGAGGUCCAAAAUUUUUCAAGAGGACGAAAAUUUUUUAAGAGGACUAAAAUUUUUUCAAGAGGUCUAAAAUUUUUCAAGAGGACAAAAACUAAGAAAAUAAUUCAGAAAAUAAGGAAAACAACAAGAAAAUUAGGAAACUUAAGAGGCGUGUGUGGAAAAAGAAGAAAAACAAGAGGAA